rnacentral:rRNA from 1 species
CGAACGCUGGCGGCGUGGAUUAGGCAUGCAAGUCGAACGGGAUCAUUUGGUUUCAAUUCUUCGGAAGAGAAACCUUAUGUGAGAGUGGCGAACUGGUGAGGAACACGUGGGCAACCUGCCCUUGAGUUCGGGAUAGCCUUCCGAAAGGAGGGGUAAUACCGGAUGUGGUAUUCCAACGCAUGUUGGAUGAUCUAAAGGUGGGGAUCUUCGGACCUACCGCUCAUGGAUGGGCCCGCGCACUAUCAGCUUGUUGGUGGGGUAACGGCUCACCAAGGCUCUGACGGUUAGCUGGUCUGAGAGGAUGGUCAGCCACACUGGGACUGAGACACUGCCCAGACUCCUACGGGAGGCUGCAGUCGAGAAUCAUUGUCAAUGCGGGAAACCGUGAACAUGCGACGUCGCGUGGAGGAUGAAGGCUUUCGGGUUGUAAACUCCUGUCAGAAGGGAACAAUGGUCCCGACUCUAAUACGGUCGGGAUUUGAUGGUACCUUCAGAGGAAGCCACGGCUAACUCUGUGCCAGCAGCCGCGGUAAU